UCUUUUGCCAAUGCCAUCUCCUCACCUCCCGGCGCCGCCGUGCCGUCGCCCCGCCGCUGUCCCCCGCACGCGCGCCACCUCGCCGCGGCCUGGCUCGUCGCGACCGUGCGUGUCGCCGCCUGGCGCCUUGAUCGGCACGCCCGCGAGCGUCGCCGUCGCGCGCGCCCACGGCCCGACGCCGCACCGCUUUUCCGUUUUUCUUCGCUCUCUUCCUCCUCCGCAACUUUUAACCCCCAAAGCAGUGCACAGCUGCACUCGCUCAGUCUGACACCUGCGCAGCCCCGUUCCUUCCUCUCCUCUUCCUCUCUCUGAGUGUGGUUGCAGUACAGUUUCGGCUUUCUUCAUCGCCAGGACAGAUCGAGUGUGGUGUGGAGAUUGCAAGUCCAUUUUGAUCUUUGGGACAAGCUAGAAAGGAAGAGGAGUAAGCAUAAGAAAGAAGUACAGGCGUCGCGGGGGUGCGGCCGGUGUGGCACAGGCGUCGUGGCCGACGGCGCGGGUGGCAGGGCGACGAGUGCGACUGCGAUCUCCCUUAACUUCCAUCUGUUUUGAUGAUUAUAGCUGUUUUUGGUAAGAUGGAUGUGGUCCAUUGAAUUGAACUGCAUUGGACGGACUGAAAUAAUUUGGAGCACUGUAAAAUUUUCCAUCAAAUCCUACUGAUAUUUUACCUGUUCGAGCUUCGAGUUUCAAGCUGUUUUCAUCGAAGUUCUCAUGGCAGUACAGAUCUCAUCAGUUCUAUUAAAUCCUACUGAAAUUUAACUGAUUCAGGCUGCG